UGUCUGCAGGGACGACCUCACCAACUCCUACCUUGGAUGCUGCACAAAAGGCCAGCUCCCAUGGCAGGGGUGAGUAGUGUGUCCCUGCUGACCCCUCAGGCUGAGCCCUGCUUUUGUGGGGUCCAUUCCUGGGAAAUGGAACUACUUUCUCUUAAGGUCCUCUGACAGGAGAGACCAAAGACAUGGCAGGCAGGAAAUUCCAGGACCCAUUAGAAAUCAUGUGGCAAAUGCUGAAGGAAUGUCUGCAGAGAAGACAAGAAAUGAAAGGAGAGCCUGCGGAGAAAGAAGCAUUUCCCGGAAGAAGCAGUGGUUGCAUGCCAGCCUCAGCUCCAGGAAGGGAGGCCAUGCCAGGCACAGGCACAGGAGAUGAGGGUGCUGGGAAGGCUUCUCCAUCAGCUUGGAUGAAUAAAGUUUUGAAGCCCUUGGAGCCUCCUGCAGGUAUGUUCUCAGUGUGCCACCAAGGAAGAAUUGUAGACAAGCGGGCAGGCACCAGGUGACAGAAGCUUCUGUGGCUGUUGUGUUACAGAUGUGUCUACAGGGAAGACUUCUCCAGCUUCUCCAGCUGCUACCUUGGAUGCUGCACUCAAGCCCAGCUCCCAUCUCAGGGGUCCUCUGGCAGGAGAGACCAAAGACAUGGCAGGCAGGAAAUUCCAGGACCCAUUAGAAAUCAUGUGGCAAAUGCUGAAGGAACAUCUGCAGAGAAGGCAAGAAAUGAAAGGAGAGCCUGCGGAGAAAGAAGCAUUUCCCGGAGGAAGCAGUGGUUGCAUGCCAGCCUCAGCUCCAGGAAGGGAGGCCAUGCCAGGCACAGGCACAGGAG